rnacentral:lncRNA from 1 species
UGGAAAGGCUGGUGCCGGUGCGCGCAGCUGCCGCUGCCAUGGGUUUCUCCCAACCUGAACCUGAACCUGAACCUGAAGCUGCAACUGCAGCUGGAGCCUCGCCCUCACAUCGAAAGUUUGGUGCGCCUGCGUUGAAGCUCUGAAUCUGUGGUAUGUAUACUGACACUAAUAAUCAUCCUAUCUUGAACUUGGAGUACUUAUCGAUCUCAUCUCAUAUGAAUCUAUCUCUCUGCCUACACUACACUACACUACACCAAGCUCCAGCAUGACAGAUCUCAUCUCAUAUUGAAUUGUUGAAUUAAUUAGCAGAUAAACUACAUGUACUGAAAUUGAUCCAUUGUUUUGGGUUACUGGACAAUGUUCAGAAUUUUUAGUUUCAUCAGAUAAACAGUCCUAAUAUAGUUAUGAAAGAAUGUGAACGGACGUUAUUUAGAUUCUAGGGAGAAAAUUGGAUCUUCAGACCUUUGUUUUGAGAUAAGUUUCAGAGAAAAACAUUUGCUUAGAGAGAAAAUUCAGAUUAGAGCAUGACAAGCUAUUAGAAGCAGUGACUCACUUCACUGCAAAACUGUGUGAUGAACCAAUAAUAAGUUGAUGAACCAAUACUAAGUCCUUGCCUUGAUGAGCCGAUACAUUGCCUGCACCUGCUAGAACACCAUCACUUGUAUGAUCAUGACAUUAUAUGAAGCCUUAGCCCCCUUUCUGUUAGCUUGGGCAAAAGCACCAUCUACGUUGAUUUUCAGCAUGUCUAAUGGGGGUGGUUUCCAGGUGCAUCCGACCGUUGUUUGACAUGCUACAGUAAGCUUUCACUUUCUCUGAAUUUCAGUAACCAACUAUCGAACAGAUCCGGCAAUAGCAGUAGGGGUUAGCUGCUUGUCUCCAGCAUUUACUGCAUUUCGUACUAUUCACCAUUUUCAUAAUAAAAUUAGAAUCUUGUUGCACAGCAUCUCUGGCAUAUUCAGGAUUUUUGCUACCAUCUCUUAUGUCCAAAUAUUGAUAUAUGGUUCAGUUGUAGGUUCUCUUGCCUUUAGCGCUCAAAAGAAUUUGAGCUAUUAUUUUUUUUUUCUAUAACUUUUGUAUUAUCUGAUACACCAUGUCACUUGCAUCUUGGAUUUGCAGUUCAGAUGAUAAACUAUAGGGUAGUGACAUAAUCAUAGUUGGAUGUGGGAUUAUAAAGGCAAUUGAUACUUUGAAGACUGCAUGGGAGUACUACCACUUGCAACUUGCAAGGGUUAGGACUCAACCGUGGAGGAGACAGGAGACUUUCACUGCAUGCACCAUCAUCCUUUGUGUUAAAUUACAAUAUUUCCUUCUCGGUUCACUCUGUUGUUGUUUGACUUGGACAUUGUGAUACCGGUGUUGAGUUGUAUAUUGUAUUAUUGCUCUUUGAACUCUAAACUCCCGAGCACCGUCAUGCUCGAAGUAUUAUUUUUUCUGAUAACAAUACAACACACAUUCAUAUUCAUAUUAUCAUAGCAUUAUAUCUCCCCGUUGCAACGUACGCGCAUUUCAACAAUGCUGCAUUUUGUUGAUAUACAUGCCUUGUAUAGUUAAGUUUGAUUAAUA